UGUAUUUUCGGCACUGCACCCGCAAUGGGACAAGUUGAUGAAGACUGCCGGCUUGACAGAUAUAAGGAGUAAUUGACCAAAAAACUACCACAUUUCACGUAUCCGUCCCACAGAACUACCACAUUUUAAAAAUUGACCGAAAACUCCAGAUUAAUACUAAUUUUGUGACAAAAAACUACCGGCAGCGUUGAUGAUGACCGUUUUUAUGAUUUUAAACCUGUUUAUGACAUGUGGGACCGGCAGCAAAGUCAACUCUGUUUAUUUUGACCGUGGAGUUAACCGUUAUGACAAAUGGAACCCACACGUCAUCAUCAACCUUCUUCUUCUUCCCCUCCUUCUCUGUUUGACAUUUCAACAAGCACCUUAUGCUUAUGUGCAUCGGGCAGCACCACCAUGCCGACGCGUCGACGCCGGUGAGCAGCGGCAGCCCGUGGCACCGGCGAUUCUUCCUCCCCCGAUUCCCUCACCCGCGCCGCCACCCACGGCCGACCCUCUUCUGUUCCUCGGACGGACCUUGCCGCCGGGCUGCGCUCUCAUCACAGGACAUGACAAGGGAAGGAGGAGAGGGAGAUCCAGCGACGGCCAUGGCAGAUCGAGCACGCUCCUCCGGUCCUCCCUACCAGAUCCGUAGCCUCCAUCCGGGGCGGAACCGGCGACGACGACACGCCGUGCGUGAGGAGACGGGUGGAGGGGCUCGCGCUGCCGGGACAGAACCUCCGACGACGCGGCCGUGCCAACCCUCUCCUCAGGCGACGGCGGCGGCCUUCAUUCUCUCUCGGUGGGGAGCUUGCUGCUGCGACACCGGUGAUGGGUUGCAUAUGGUAUUCCACACACCGGCGAGGACGACCAUGCCAACAUCAGUGGCAGUGGCGCACGAGCUCGUCACCGCCGGUGGUCUCCAUGCACUUGCGCAUGCGCGUGGUGCCAGUCGAUGGUGGUGCACGCCAUCACCCGAGCCUGGGGCCAGAGCUCUACUUGUCCUCGCCGGUGUCCUGCUCUGCUGCUGGUAAGGUGUUCGAGGAAAUGCCAACAAGAAGAAGAAGAGGAGGAAGAAGAAGGUUGGUGCUAACGUGUGGGCCGUUAGCCGUUAGCGCGGCAGCCGUCCUGACAGGGCCGGAAGAUGUUGUAGCGGUGUGGACGUGAAACAGGAAUAAUAUAGAAAGAACCCAGUGAGGGAGCAGCACUGGAUAUUGUCCGCGAGAUUACCAGAAUCACCCAGCACAAGCCUCUUGAGCGAUGGCGCCACCAAACUUUGGGAGCAGAUAUUUGGGCAAUGGACCACCUCCAGUUCUUCAAGGUAACGAAACCCCCCAAAUCUUUCAGUUGGUAGGUACACUAACCUCCCGCAUCUUUUAAUUGUUAUUUUUCUGAUUGUUGGCACACAAGUUGGAUGUAGAAAAUGUUCAAGGCUUGAUAAUUUGUGGCAACCAGAAAUUGUUACAUUUGUCAGGGAGAAGAAAGUACAACUACCAUCAAA